rnacentral:lncRNA from 1 species
UCCACCUAUCCACCCCACCCAACACCUCGGCAGAGACCCUCCUCGUCACCGCCGCCGCCGCCACCUACUGCGGUCGAUCCAGGUCGAUUUCCGGGGCCGGAGGCAGCACCCAGCACCCCCACAUGAUCCCCUCGAUCGUCUCCUCCAUCUCCUUCGACCGGAUCCGGUGGGCGCGUCCUCCUGUGACCAGGCGUGACUCUCGCAUCCACUAGGGUUUGGGCCAGCGCGUCGUCGGCGUGGCUCCGGCGUUGCUCCGGUGAGUCAGAUCCCAUCUCUUCCCUCGUCACAUCCCUCCUUCCUUCUCCUCCUCACCACAUCCCCUCUUAAAUACCAGAUCUGUUGUUUCCCAAGCACCGGAACGCGAUGGACGCAGAGGCGGAGACAGGGGGUGCGAGCAGGGGUUGGACACCCCCCAUCGCCUCGCCUCCUCUAUGUCUUUUGCUUACCAGGAACUUGUACUCGCAUGUCUUUUUGAUUUAUUUUAUUAUUCGUGGGCUAACACGACCACUUUCCAGCCCAACGUGAGAAAUCAUUGUAUGAUGCCUUGAUAACUAGAUGUACGCAUCAGAAACUGGGAUUGCAUUGCAUGUAGCCGUGAGAUCUGGUAGUCAGUUCCCUGUAAUUUCGUGGCCCCUGGGUCUGGUGGCUCCAUACGCCACUUGCCGCCGUGGCCGUUGCCAUUCCCUCUCGGCUCUCGUUGCUUCCGCCGUUGUGGCUCAGGGCCGAGGGCACUCCACUCUAGCAAGGAUUGAACCUAUGUCAGUUUGUUUCAUUCAUUGGCAUCAUGCAUCACAAAAUCAACUUCAAGGAAUCGAGGACGUACUGCUAAGUAAUAGUACUUGUGAAUUGGUACAGUUCCUUUGAAGACAGUAGGAUUGUAAUUUUAGAAUAUAAUUUUACUUCUUGUUUAAUGUUUCAAUGACUAAAGUAUGAAGAGAGUAAAUAUAACCAAAAAAACCGUUUCUCAAACCCAUUGCUUCUAAGUUAAAUAUUAUCGAAAAUGCAAAUCCACCUAAGGAGUAAGGAGCAUCCGCUAGAUGACCCAAAUUCAGUUGAUAUAUGCAACCAAUAGAAAUGUAUUUUUUUAUAUUACAAUACAUGUGUUACCACACAUUCAUAUCAAUUACACUUUUGAUAUUAUGUUAUUGUGUUGUGUCUGUCGAACAAUCAUUAUCUUCCUCGGCCCCCUCAUGUGUAACUCCUGGCUCCGCCCCUGGAUGGACAUGGACGGCAGGCUCGCUUCCUCCCCUGCCUGGACGCCAUGGAGUGGCUCGAUCUGGUCAUGCAUGCUGCGACCGUCGUCUCGGCUUCUGCAUGCUGCGACGCUCGACCUCCAUUGCUCCGACCUGGCUACCAACGUCGUUGGACAAUGGUCGCUCCCCUACUAGAUACUGUAGGUCUGCAUCAGCUUCACCCUGUCAAUUCUUCAUCCCCAACUCUGAAACUAGGUUUGUUCUUCGUGAACUCAUCCAUUCAUCUCAUCAUAUGAAUUUGUUUCUUUUGCAUUUAUGGUUCUGGUUCUGGUUCAUGCCACAUCACAUUCACAUACGGAAUUCGUGAUAGUAUAGUAGUAUUUACAGUUCGUGAUAGUAUAGUAGUAUUCACAUAUGGAAUCCGCUGCAAGUAGAAUACUUUUAUCUCAAGUUUUUACAGUUAGUAUUUCAAUGAUGUGAUAGAUGAUGCAGAAGUAAUUGGAAAAAAAUCAAGAGAUGUCAACAACACCACCCUGGUGGCUGACACCACCAACAGUUUAAGUGGUAGUGAAAAUGCAUCAAAACGUGCACCCAGACAUAAUCCUGUUGUGCCUGAACUAAUUGAUUUGAACAAACUACUCGGGGCCCAUCUAAAAUUAAGUGAAUCGCAGAUUAGCACCUCAACCAACGUGAUGAGAUAAGAUGAAAGUACUUAAUUUGGGGUCUCUCUCCAUACAAUAAAAUAGUCGUUAUAAUUGAGAUUUUAAGAGCAGCUGGAUAUCCUGUGCCAUUUUUAGGCCAAGGUGUCCCCAUAAGAGGUUUUAAUAUCCUGUGACAUUUUCUCAUUGCCAAUUAUACAAUAAGAUAUAGAAGAGUUAAUACAUGUACACUGCCUCCCCACCAACGGUCACUUACAUCCUCUCUCCCCCAGAGCACCCACAAAUCCUAGCUCUAUAGGAAAAACAAAUUCCAAUAAUUUUGUCUGUGUUAUGCAGAUUUGGUCAAUAAUUGUGCGAUAUGCAGCUUGGUUUAAAUAAAUGUUUGCAUUUUUACAGUUAAGCUGUUGUUAUCAUAGUCUUUGUUCUCACCAUUGCCUUGAUGUGUAUUUGUGCACCUUUGCUGAUGUAUGUAUGUGAAGCUGAUUGUUUUUCCCUGAUGGCAGCUGCACACUUUUAUUGAGUAUGAGACUGUUGAGGAUGCUGUGAAAGCGGUAUUUAUCAUUACACAACCUCUUUAAUAGCAUAAUAACUUGUUUGCCCAUAUUACCAAUGACAUCAUUUCAUGCAAACAGAUUGUGGUGCUUAAUGAUGAGAGGAACCGGAGAAGCGGGCUUAGAGUUCGGUUGUUGAAUUCUUGCAUGGUAACCAUCCAUUGGGUUUAAUCAAUUGGACAUGAGAUAGUUUUUGUGCUUAACUUCUUAAGCAAAACAUCAUGAUGAUAAGUACCUGCCAUAACAUCUCAAGCCAUUGGGUUGCGAUGAGGCUACAAGAAUAAAUCAUUAGUACAACAUGAUUUCUUAUACACAUAAUUCUGUCAUUUUGCAAAUGCGACUCUGUUUACAUUUGGAAUGAUGCAUUAAUAAUGCGUAUUUUCUCCUUAGUUCUUGUAGGUCAGCUUACGUAUGGUACAUUUACUAGGAUCUAAGGUCCAAGUGUGUUUAGAAAGACUCGUUUCUUCUUUAUGAGUCAAUCUUUUUUUGAUUGGAAAAUUACAUUCAUACUGAAUGCACGGGAUUACAAAGAUCAUGGGGCGUAACAUAUUUGGCAAGGGCUAAGCUUACAAAGCCUAGUAUGCAGAUUUGGGGCCGCAAGACAACGUGCCAUCGCCUCCGUCGAUUUUGCCAGAAGAUCAUUAGCCGUCGCGUAGGCCUACUUUGGCGCAGGUACUUUUGAAGCAUUUGAUGGUCCUCAUCUAUCUGUAAAUUCGCUAGUUUACUGUAGCAAAUAUAGUUGUUGCGGACAGUAGACAUGUAUCACAUAUGACUAUAUAUUUUUGUCUUGCUGAGUGUAUCACAGUAAACAUUCGACCUUCUAUAUUAACUAUUAUUUUAAAAUAAUUGAAUUCGGAAACACAGGAUACUGUACAUGUAUACUGUGUAUGCACAGAACACCCAUGUAUACUGUGUAUGCACAGAAGAAUCAAAUAUUUAGUUUGGGUCUCAGCAAUAUAUCUCACUUACAAGACUGUACAUGUCCGUAUGCAGAUACCCAGCUAGGAGGCUACAUGAAAUUCCAUUUGGUUUGCAUGAUUCAGCCAACCACAUAGUAUUAUAUAAGCAUGACUCUAUCAUCAGGACUCGAGAGUCUAGGUUGCAAACAUGUCGCCUUUUGCCUCCUUUGCCUUUGCAUGAUGGAUUUUAUUCUCACGUGGAUCACGUUCUGUCAUAAUCCUUUUAGAUUAGUCUUUGAUUAGGACUCAAGAGUCCAGGUCGCCACCAUCUCUUUUUGCCAUCGCACGUACAAUUUAUUUUCCUCUGCACGUAUGUUUGUUUCCGACGUAUGUCACGUCCUGAUAUAGUCCAUCGCUGAGUUAAUCUUAGCCGUAAAUCUAAGAUCUAACAGUUUAAUUAAUUCUAAUUAUGUAGAUUAACAUGGAGGAUUUAGUUCAAGUUUAAUUUAUAUCCAAUAAAUAAAUAUACAUUCAUUUAAUAGUGAGAGAAGAGUUUAAUGGCACUAUAAUUCUGAUCUGUUUCUUGAUGCUGCACUUUAUUAUCUCUACAUAAGCUAAAGUAAUAUUAUGAUCUGCUUUGGGUCAUUUAGUAGAACUACUACACCAGGUGUUCACAUUUAUUAUUUUGUUGUUGUUUGGAAAUAAACAUUGAUGGAGCAUUGAUGUAGGUACAUAGAGUAUUACCACAGUUUUUUAGACACCAUGUUCAUAAUUCUGGAAGGGUCUAUUGUUGGUAUUUAGUAUCUGACAAGAAGCUUGUGAUGACCUGUUCAUUCACAGCGUUAUUUUAUUGGUGUAUUUUAUCAUAUGUAAAAAUAUUCUCUCCCACUUAUACAUUCAAUCAUAUGCUUGUACUCCCUAUGUUGCUAAAUAUAAGUUCUUUUAGAGAUUCCAGUAUACUUUGUUUGCCCCUGCUAUCUUCUUUCUAUUAUGUGGUAUUAUGGAAGCAUGCUAUUGGUAUUUGCAUGCUUGUAAUAUGUUUGCAUGUGCAGGUUUGUGGAUGACUAGUAGCUUCUAACGAUGGAUCCAAUGGUGGUGUUGACGUCCAUGUAGAACAUCUCCAACUAUAAAGUUGGAAGAAGCUUAAUUCAAGUUGGAACAAAAUGGAACUUUCAUGUGACGUGAUGGUUUUUUUUAGUCAUGUCAUUAGGUUGUAAAUUGAUGAAAUAUUGACUAUUGCUAGCUGUCAUGUGCCCUUUUAAUUUGCUACGAGUUAUGUACUGUAAUGUGAUGUCUUCUUGCUGGAUAGAAGAUGAGUUGAAAUAGACCAUAACUGGCUGGAUAGAAGAUGAGUUAUGUACUGUACUAAUUAUGCCAUGGAAGUAGAAUAAUGAAAAGUUGGUUUUAAAAAAUUGCUAAAAAUAAGCAAUUUCCCAUGGCCCAAUAAUGUUUGGUUGAGAAAAAAUCCCAAAUGAAAACAGAUCCUAAAUGGGCCGUAUUUAUGGGCUUGGUCCAUUGGGCCACCAAG